GGACCAAGGAGUCUAGCAUGUGCGCGAGUCAUUGGGAUAUAACUAAACUCAAAGGCACAAUGAAAGUGAAGGUCCGCCUUGCGCGGACCGAGGGAAGAUGGGUGGUCGUUACGGCUGCUGCCCCGCACUCCCGGGGCGUCUCAUUCUCAUUGCGAGAAGAGGCGCACCAAGAGCGUACACGCUGGGACCCGAAAGAUGGUGAACUAUGCCUGGUCAGGACGAAGUCAGGGGAAACCCUGAUGGAGGUCCGUAGCGAUUCUGACGUGCAAAUCGAUCGUCGGAACUGGGUAUAGGGGCGAAAGACUAAUCGAACCAUCUAGUAGCUGGUUCCCUCCGAAGUUUCCCUCAGGAUAGCUGGCGCUCGUAGCGCACGAGUUUCAUCCGGUAAAGCGAAUGAUUAGAGGCAUUGGGGUCGAAACGGCCUCAACCUAUUCUCAAACUUUAAAUGGGUGAGAUCUCCGGCUUGCUCGAACUCUUGAAGCCGCGAGACUCGAAUCAGAGUGCCAAGUGGGCCAUUUUUGGUAAGCAGAACUGGCGCUGUGGGAUGAACCAAACGCCGAGUUAAAGCGCCUAAAUCGACGCUUAUGGGAUACCAUGAAAGGCGUUGGUAACUUAAGACAUCAGGACGGUGGCCAUGGAAGUCGGA
rnacentral:rRNA from 1 species